AUUGAACGCCGGCGGCAGGCCUAACACAUGCAAGUCGAGCGGAUGAAGGGAGCUUGCUCCUGGAUUCAGCGGCGGACGGGUGAGUAAUGCCUAGGAAUCUGCCUGGUAGUGGGGGAUAACGUCCGGAAACGGGCGCUAAUACCGCAUACGUCCUGAGGGAGAAAGUGGGGGAUCUUCGGACCUCACGCUAUCAGAUGAGCCUAGGUCGGAUUAGCUAGUUGGUGGGGUAAAGGCCUACCAAGGCGACGAUCCGUAACUGGUCUGAGAGGAUGAUCAGUCACACUGGAACUGAGACACGGUCCAGACUCCUACGGGAGGCAGCAGUGGGGAAUAUUGGACAAUGGGCGAAAGCCUGAUCCAGCCAUGCCGCGUGUGUGAAGAAGGUCUUCGGAUUGUAAAGCACUUUAAGUUGGGAGGAAGGGCAGUAAGUUAAUACCUUGCUGUUUUGACGUUACCAACAGAAUAAGCACCGGCUAACUUCGCG
rnacentral:rRNA from 1 species